GCGCGAAAACUUUACAAUGCUGGCAACAGCGAUAAGGGAACCUCGAGUGCCAGGUUACAAAUCUGGCUGUCGAGAUGCCUAAAAAGCAUUUCAUAGCAAGGGCCGGGCAAGACCGGUGCCAGCCGCCGCGGUAACACCGGCGGCUCGAGUGGUAACCGUUAUUAUUGGGUCUAAAGGGUCUGUAGCCGGCCGGAUAAGUCUCUUGAGAAAUCUGGCAGCUUAACUGUCAGGCUUUCAGGAGAUACUGUCUGGCUCGAGGCCGGGAGAGGUGAGAGGUACUUCAGGGGUAGGGGUGAAACCUUGUAAUCCUUGAAGGACCACCAGUGGCGAAGGCGUCUCACCAGAACGGACCUGACGGCAAGGGACGAAAGCUAGGGG
rnacentral:rRNA from 1 species